AUUGAACGCUGGCGGCAUGCUUUACACAUGCAAGUCGAACGGUAACAGGCCGCAAGGUGCUGACGAGUGGCGAACGGGUGAGUAAUGCAUCGGAACGUGCCCAGUCGUGGGGGAUAACUACUCGAAAGAGUAGCUAAUACCGCAUACGAUCUAUGGAUGAAAGCGGGGGACCGUAAGGCCUCGCGCGAUUGGAGCGGCCGAUGUCAGAUUAGGUAGUUGGUGGGGUAAAGGCUCACCAAGCCAACGAUCUGUAGCCGGUCUGAGAGGACGACCAGCCACACUGGGACUGAGACACGGCCCAGACUCCUACGGGAGGCAGCAGUGGGGAAUUUUGGACAAUGGGCGCAAGCCUGAUCCAGCAAUGCCGCGUGCAGGAAGAAGGCCUUCGGGUUGUAAACUGCUUUUGUACGGAACGAAACGGCUCUGGUUAAUACCCGGGGCUAAUGACGGUACCGUAAGAAUAAGCACCGGCUAACUACGU
rnacentral:rRNA from 1 species